rnacentral:rRNA from 1 species
CUUAGGUGCCCGUACCGCAAACCGACACAGGUAGAUAGGAAGAAGAUUCUAAGGCCAACGGGAGAAGGGUUGUUAAGGAACUCGGCAAGUUGACCCCGUAACUUAGGGAUAAGGGGUGCUCAAGUGAUUGAGCCGCAGAGAAUAGGCCCAGGCGACUGUUUAGCAAAAACACAGGUCUCUGCUAAAUCGAAAGAUGACGUAUAGGGGCUGACACCUGCCCGGUGCCGGAAGGUUAAGAGGAGAUGUGAGAGCAUUGAAUUGAAGCCCCGGUAAACGGCGGCCGUAACUAUAACGGUCCUAAGGUAGCGAAAUUCCUUGUCAGGUAAGUUCUGACCCGCACGAAAGGUGUAACGAUCUGGGCACUGUCUCAACAACCCGCCCGGCGAAAUUGUAGUACCGGUGAAGAUGCCGGUUACCCGCGACUAGACGGAAAGACCCCAUGGAGCUUUACUGUAGCCUAAUAUUGGAUUUCGGUAUUUCACGUACAGGAUAGGUGGGAGACUGGGAAGCACAGGCGUCAGCUUGUGUGGAGUCGACCUUGGGAUACCACUCUUGGAGUGCUGGAAUUCUAACCUGCGGCUUUGAAGCAAGUCGGGGGACAUUGUUAGGUGGGCAGUUUGACUGGGGCGGUCGCCUCCUAAAGAGUAACGGAGGCGCUCAAAGGUUCGCUCUGCAUGGAUGGAAACCAUGCGUCAGAGUGUAAACGCAAAAGCGAGCCUAACUGCGAGAAUGACGGUUCGAGCAGUAACGAAAGUUGGAGUUAGUGAUCCGGCGGUAUGUGAAUGGAAAUGCCGUCGCUCAACGGAUAAAAGCUACCCUGGGGAUAACAGGCUGAUCUCCCCCAAGAGUCCACAUCGACGGGGAGGUUUGGCACCUCGAUGUCGGCUCAUCGCAUCCUGGGGCUGAAUUCGGUCCCAAGGGUUUGGCUGUUCGCCAAUUAAAGCGGUACGCGAGCUGGGUUCAGAACGUCGUGAGACAGUUCGGUCCCUAUCUGUCGUGGGCGUAGGAUAUUUGCAAGGAGCUGUCCCUAGUACGAGAGGACCGGGAUGGACGCACCUCUGGUGCACCAGUUGUCACGCCAGUGGCACAGCUGGGCAGCUAUGUGCGGAACGGAUAAACGCUGAAGGCAUCUAAGCGUGAAGCCGCCCUUAAGAUAAGAUAUCCCUUCUGUUUACAGAGUAAGACCCCUUGAAGACUACAAGGUUGAUAGGCUCAAAGUGUAAGCACGGUGACGUGUUUAGCUAGCGAGUACUAAUCGGUCGAGGGCUUAACCUU